rnacentral:rRNA from 1 species
UACGAAGGGGGCUAGCGUUGCUCGGAAUGACUGGGCGUAAAGGGCGCGUAGGCGGUUCAUACAGUCAGAUGUGAAAUUCCCGGGCUUAACCUGGGGGCUGCAUUUGAUACGUAUGGGCUUGAGUGAGGAAGAGGGUUGUGGAAUUCCCAGUGUAGAGGUGAAAUUCGUAGAUAUUGGGAAGAACACCGGUGGCGAAGGCGACUACCUGGCCUGUUCUUGACGCUGAGGCGCGAAAGCUAGGGGAGCAAACGGG